rnacentral:lncRNA from 1 species
ACUGAUUUUCUUUCUACAUUGAUAUAAUGUAGUUUCUGAGAAGUGUUGAAAUAUCCAACUAUAAUUGUGGAUUUGUCUAUUUCCCCUUUCAGUUCUGUUCAUUUUUGCUUCAUGCAUCUUGAGCCUCUGUAACUAUGUGUAUAUACACAUUUAGGAUUUUUAUGUCUUCUCAAUGAAUUUAGCCCUUUGUAAUUAUAGAACGUUUCCUUAUCCCUGGUAAUAUUUCUUAUCCUGAAGGCUAUAUUGUGUGAUAUUAAUAUGGUCACUCCAGCUUAUUUAUGUAUUUGUAUAUCUUUUUGUUUCCUUUUACUUUUAACUUAUUCGUGUCUUUAUUUUUUUAAUGAAUUUAUUUUAGAUAGUAGAUAGUUGGAUUUUUAAAGUCCAAUCUUACCAUCUUUGUUUUUUAAUUGAAGUGUUUAGACCACUUACAUUUAUGUCAUUUUCAAUAUGGUUGGGUUUAAGUUUAUCAUUUUGCUGUUUGUUUUCUAUUUAUCCCAUCUGUUUUCUGUUUAUUCUUUCCUCUUUUCCUGGCUUCUUUUUGAUUACUUUUUUACUAUUCCAUCUCCUCUGUUAGCUAUAAACCUUUGUUUUACUUUUAUAACAGUUGCUUUAUGGCUUAAAAUAUGCAUCUUUAACUUAUGCAGUCUGCCUUAAAAUAAUAUGCCACUUCAUUUAUAGUGUAAAAACUUCAAAAAGUGCACUUUCAUUUUCCCAUUAUAUCUUUGGACUAUUGUCAUACAUUUUACUUCGACAUGUUAAAUGUCCCACAAUUCAUUGUUACCAAUUUUGCUUUUAAUGACAAAAAGCCUGAAAAAGAAAAGUAUUUUCCAUUUACCCACAUAUUUGCCAUUUCCAAUGCCCUUUAUUCUUUUGUUUAGAUCUGAGUUCCCAUCCGUAUUAUUUUAUUUAGCCUGAAAAGCUUCACCGUUUUUUGUACUAAAGAUUUCUUCUAGGCUGUGCACGGUGGCUCACGCCUGUAAUCCCAGCACUUUGGGAGGCCAAGGCAGGAGGAUAGCUUGAGCCCAGAAGUUCAAGACCAGCUUGGGCAACAUGGCAAAAACCCAUCUCAACAAAAAAUACAAAAAUUAGGCAGACAUGGCAGCAUACAUCUGUAGUUCCAGCUACUCAGGAGGCUGAGAUAGAUCACUUGAGCCUGGGGAGGUUGAGGCUGCAGUGAGCCAUGGUCAUUCAGUGGGCCACAGAUUUCUUCUAGUAGAGACCUGGUGGCAAUUAGUUGUCUCAGCUUUUGUUCUUGAAAAAUCUCUUUAUUUUUCCAUCUUUUUUGAAGGCUAUUUUUGCUGGAUAUCAAAUUUUAGAUAGACAGUUUCUAUCUUUUGGCACCUUAAAGAUGCUUUUCUGUUGUAUUGUUAAAGAUCCCUAUCUUGUAUUGUUUCUUUCUUUUGUAGAGACAGCCUCUCUCCCUUUGCCCAGGCUAGUCUUGAACUCUUGGCCUCAAGCAGUCUUCCCACCUAAGCCUCUCAAAGUGGUGUGAGCCACCACAACCAGCCACUCAAAAGCAAUUUUUAUUAAGAGACUGAAAAAAUGCUUUAAUGAAAAGUCUUCCAGUAAUACUGUAGUAUGGAUGCUUCAUAAAAAAACUUUCCACUACUGUUUCUAAGCUUUACCUUUAGCUUGACAAUGUGUAUCUUUAAAGCCUUAAAAAAUAUCCACAUACCCUGUGACCCAGCAAUUCUUAGCUGGGUGCGGGGGUGUGCACCUCUAGUCCCAGCUACUCUGAGGAGUGAGUUUGGAGGAUUGCUUCAGCCCAGGAAUUUGAGACUAGUCUGAGCAAAGUACCAAGACCCUAUCUCUAAG